UACGUAGGGACCAAGCGUUGUUCGGAUUUACUGGGUGUAAAGGGCGUGUAGGCGGUCCGCUAAGUCUGAUGUGAAAGCCCGGGGCUCACCCCCGGAAGUGCAUUGGAAACUGGCGAACUCGAGUCCCGGAGAGGAGGGUGGAAUUCCUGGUGUAGCGGUGAAAUGCGUAGAUAUCAGGAGGAACACCGGUGGCGAAGGCGGCCUUCUGGACGGUGACUGACGCUGAGACGCGAAAGCGUGGGGAGCAAACAGG
rnacentral:rRNA from 1 species